rnacentral:misc_RNA from 1 species
GUGUAUCACCUCUCUACUAGUCUGGUUAUCGUGUUCUAAGUGGGAACCACUUAAGUUUAUAUUAAGAGACCAAACCAAGUGCGUGCGAACAGCAGACCAAUAGCAAUGUUCUAUUUAUUACUGUUUAUGUAAGUGUGCGCGUGUGUGCGUGUUACUCCUGUAUGUAUGUCGUGGUGCCACGUGGACCGAAGAAGCCGCCACUUUCCAUGGAUGGCCGAUCGACGUGCUGAACUAGGUUAAGAGCCGGUUUCGGAACGGGUUCAACGACGAUUUAAAAGUGUUCGAGUGUGUGUGUGUUGUUUUCUCUAUUGUGUACUCAUCGUCAUCGUUGUUGGGAAAGGUUCCUAGCCCCGCACGACCCAUCAUCCCCUGUAACUGUCUGUGUGUCGGAUCCCCGCUCGGAAUUCCCGGUAUCAAACCCGCCCCAAAACAAAAAGUCGUAGACACCCAACCCCGGUAGAGUAAAUCGCAAAUAGCUCAUAGUAUGACCUUGACGGUGUCGGAAUCGGACGGCAACACUCUGCGCAACAAUAACGCCAACGCCAACAACAACAACAACACUCUCAACAGUUCGGAUAUGACCGAAUCUCUACCCAGUUCUGAACUCUCCCUGCUAGCAAAACUGGAGGCCGCCAACAAGCUGAUCGAGAGUGACUCGAAGAGUCUGAACUCGCUGCAGAGUUCCGCCCACAGCCGGAAGAGCUCCGACACCAGCCAGAUUUCGCUCAACUCGGGCGCCUCCUCCGUCGGGGAGGAGGACAUCUGGUCGACAUGGGCCAGCAUCGUGGCCGACUGGGAGGCGGGCCAGAAGCGGAAGGCGCCCACCGUUAAGGAGCUGGUCCGGAAGGGCAUCCCGCACCACUUCCGGGCCAUCGUCUGGCAGCUGCUGUGCGGGGCGACCGAGGCGGACAAGAAGCAGUACGCGGAGUACAUCAAGGCAACGAGCGCCUGCGAGAAGGUCAUCCGGCGGGACAUUGCGCGGACCUAUCCGGAGCAUGACUUCUUCAAGGAGAAGGACGGGCUCGGGCAGGAGGCGCUGUUUAACGUGAUGAAGGCGUACUCGUUGCAUGAUCGCGAGGUCGGCUAUUGCCAGGGCUCGGGCUUUAUCGUGGGGCUGCUGCUGAUGCAGAUGCCCGAGGAGGACGCCUUCUCGGUGCUGGUCCAGAUCAUGCAGCAGUACCGGAUGCGGGACAUGUUCAAACCGUCUAUGGCCGAGCUCGGCCUGUGCAUGUACCAGCUGGAGAGCAUCGUCGCGGAGCAGAUCCCCGAGCUGCACCUGCACUUCCAGUCGCAGAGCUUUCAAACCUCCAUGUACGCCUCCAGCUGGUUCCUCACGCUGUACACAACGGCCCUCAACCUGACGCUCAGCUGCCGCAUCAUGGACGUGUUCCUGUCCGAGGGCAUGGAGUUCAUCUUCAAGGUGGCGAUCGCGCUGCUCCUCAUCGGCAAGGACACACUGCUGUCGCUGGACAUGGAAGCGAUGUUGAAGUACUUCCAGAAGGAACUUCCCCAAAAGGUGGAAAACGACAGCGACGGGCUGUUCAACCUAGCAUUCCAGGUGAAGAUCAACACGAAAAAGAUGAAGAAAAUGGAGAAGGAGUACGCCGACCUGCGGAAAAAGGAACAGGAAGAAAUGGUCGAACUGAGGCGAUUACGAAACGAGAACCGGCUGCUGAAGAAGCGCAACGAGCUGCUCGAGGCGGAGAGUGCCGAACUCGCGGAUCGGUUAGUCCGCGGCCAGGUGUCCCGCGCCGAAGAGGAGGAAACCAGCUACGCUAUCCAGUCGGAACUGUUGGCCCUGCGGAGGGUUCACCUGGAGGUAGCCCACCAGCUGGAGACCGCAAACGAGGAAGUGCGAGCGCUCAGCUUGCGACUUCAGGAAAAUGUUGCGGAUAAUUCGCUCGAAUCCAACAACUCCCGCCAGAAUUCGUUCGACGAGCUGAUCAUGAAGGAAGAAGCGCUGAAGCAGCGCGACGAGAUGGUGUCCUGCCUGCUGGAGGAGCUGGUCAAGGUGCGCCAGGGGCUGGCCGAAAGCGAAGAUGUGAUACGAAACCUCAAGACGAAGAUUCAGGAGCUGGAGGAGGACAAGAAACGACUUCGCGAGACCACGAUCGACAACUCGGUGGCACAUCUGCAGGACGAGCUGAUAGCGAGUAAGCUGCGGGAAGCCGAGGCCAGUCUGUCGUUGAAGGACCUCAAGCAGCGCGUUCAGGAGCUCAGCACUCAGUGGCAGAGGACACUGUCGGAGCAGCGGAACGAGGCGGCCCAGACGAGCGAGUCAGGCGCGAAGAAGCUGCUGUUCUGGGAGUCGUCGCGCACGGCGGAUAUCCAGAAGCUCGAGGAGGAGCUGAUGACGACGCGGAUUCGCGAGAUGGAGACGCUGACCGAACUGAAGGAGCUGCGGCUGAAGGUGAUGGAGCUGGAGACGCAGGUUCAGGUUUCGACCAACCAGCUGCGACGCCAGGACGAGGAGUCAAAGAAGGUGAAGGAAGAGCUGGAGGAGGCGCUGGUGCGCGAGCGGGAACUGUCGAACAAGGCCCGCGAGCAGCAGCACCGGUACUCGGAUCUCGAAUCUCGCAUGAAGGACGAGCUGAUGAACGUCAAGAUCAAGUUCACCGAGCAGAGUCAGACGGUGGCCGAGCUGAAGCAGGAGAUUUCGCGGCUCGAAACCAAGAACUCCGAAAUGCUGGCCGAGGGCGAGCUUCGCUCUAACCUGGACGAGUCGGAUCGCGUACGGGAUCUGCAGGACAAGGUGGCCGAGCUGAAAGCCGAGUUUCCCACGCCGAUUACCAGUCCGGAGACCGAACCGUGGAAGUGGAUCGCAUAAAGGGGGAGCGCAAACGAACAUUCAUCGUCACAUUGUCAUUUUUUUGAAUGUCUCAAUUAACCGCACACCCACACAAACUUAAUCAACCAACAAACAAAACCACUCUCACUUAGGAUGAGGACGCUGGAUCAACUAACCUCUAGUCAAGCCAACCAACUCAGUAUUGUUAAUCAUUCCCCCACUCGUCGUCGUCGUCGUAUCUGUCGUCAUUGAUUUUGGAGAAGAAGCAGAGGCAAAGUAGAAGUGUUUGUGUUGAUAGCGCUAAUAUCGUUAACGAGAGAACAAUCGGCAGCUGACCGCACUCAAGUGCCGCGGAUCGGGCCCGCUGAACCUGCGCAUGAUCAAGAGCACCUCGAUCCAGUCGAUCGACUCCACCAACGAGAUCGACUUUGCCGAGAUGCAGCUCUCGCGGAAGGACAUCCUGAGCGGCG